rnacentral:lncRNA from 1 species
AUACAUAUGUCCAAUUUGAAAAAUUUAUUUAUAGGAACUUGAGGAGCAAGAAAGGGCUGGUGUGUGGCUACCAGGGAAUUGAUCUAGGAGCAGCGACGGGGGAAUACUUGGCUCUUGAGAUGGUCUUGGAGCCAAAGCUGACUAUUAUGGGGCUCAUUAUCUUGUGCACAGACAUCUGUGGUGACUUUCUAAAAAUCCCAGAAGACAUGGGAAAGAUGAGUAAGUGAUUGCAUUUAAAUAAGUUCAAAUCUAAUCAGGAAAAUCAGAUUCCAGGUUUGGGUUUUUUUUUUUUUUCUUUAAACUGAUUUAUCCAAUGAAUGACUGAAUUGCACUCGGAAGUAGGACCUAUAUCUAUUUUGUAAAUAUGAAAAAAGAAGACUGAGGCUUUGAUGUGAUUCCAUUUAUCUCUACAGAUGUUGCUGUCACCUCUGAUGAUUCCCAGGUUUUUACCUGCAGCCCCAACCUAUAUUUGAAGGAGCUGAUUUACAUAUUCAACUGCCAGGUGUCAUCUACUCUGGCCUGCGUCUGGCAAGGUUGAGGAACUCCCCUUCCUCCCAUGGGCCGGUGAGACCCCAAGGCCCUCACCUUGGGUUAGACCAGAAGACAACCCAUUUGACUAAUGGACACACCUGGAAGAGCCCUCUGUCUGCAGAGUGGUUAUAUUGCUGACACAAGUAGGACUGAGAGACAGGCUUUGAAGUUGGACGGCUUAGAGGAGGAGUCCCUCUUCCACC